GAUGAACGCUGGCGGCGUGCCUAAUACAUGCAAGUCGAGCGAACAGACGAGGAGCUUGCUCCUCUGACGUUAGCGGCGGACGGGUGAGUAACACGUGGAUAACCUACCUAUAAGACUGGGAUAACUUCGGGAAACCGGAGCUAAUACCGGAUAAUAUAUUGAACCGCAUGGUUCAAUAGUGAAAUACGGUUUUGCUGUCACUUAUAGAUGGAUCCGCGCCGCAUUAGCUAGUUGGUAAGGUAACGGCUUACCAAGGCGACGAUGCGUAGCCGACCUGAGAGGGUGAUAGGCAACACUGGAAGUGAGACACGGUCCAGACUCCUACGGGAGGCAGCAGUAGGGAAUAUUACGCAAUGGGCGGAAGCCUGACGGAGAAGCGCCGAGUGAGUGAUGAAGGUCUUCGGAUCGUAAAACUCUGUUAUUAGGGAAGAACAAAUGUGUAAGUAACUAUGCACGUCUUGACGGUACCUAAUCAGAAAGCCACGGCUAACUACGUG
rnacentral:rRNA from 1 species